CACGUAGUUAGCCGGCGCUUCAUACCCGGCUACCGUCAACCCCGCCGCAACGGACAGGGCCUUCACCACCGGAGAAAGAGGUUCACAACCCGAAGGCCUCCAUCCCUCACGCGACGUCGCUGCAUCAGGCUUCCGCCCAUUGUGCAAUACCCCCCCGACUGCUGCCUCCCGCAGGAGUCUGGGCCGUGUCUCAGUCCCAGUGUGGCCGCCCACCCUCUCAGGCCGGCUACCCGUCACCGCCUUGGUGGGCCAUCACCCCACCAACAAGCUGAUAGGCCGCGAGCCCAUCCCCCACCGAAACACCCGAAGAUGAAACUAUCCCGACCAGGCCCAUGCGGACCAGCCGGCACACCCCGUAUUAGCCGCCCUUUCAAGCAGUUAUCCAGGAGCAGGGGCAGGUUACUCACGUGAUACUCACCCGUUCGCCACUCAACCCACCCCAAAAAACAGGGCGGCCCGUCGACUUGCAUGUGUUAAGCACGCCGCCAGCGUCGUCCUCGUGCCACGGAGUACGAAACUACUACUCGUACGUACG
rnacentral:rRNA from 1 species